GAUGAACGCUGGCGGCGUGCCUAACACAUGCAAGUCGAGCGAACAGACGAGGAGUUUGCUCCUCUGAUGUUAGCGGCGGUCGGGUGAGUAACAUGUGUACAACCUACCUAUAAGACUGGGAUAACUAUGGGAAACCGGAGCUAAUACCGGAUAACAUGUUGAACCGCAUGGUUCAACAGUGAAAGACGGUCUUGCUGUCACUUAUAGAUGGAUCCGCGCCGCAUUAGUUAGUUGGUAAGGUAACGGCUUAGCAAGGCUACGAGGCGAAGCCGACCUGAGGGGGUGGUCGGCCACACGGGAGGUGAGACACGGUCCAGACUCCUGCGGGAGGCCGCAGUCGGGAAUCUUACGCAAAGGGCGAGAGCCUGACGGAACAACACGGCGUGAGUGAAGAAGUUCUUCGGAUCGUAAAGCUCUGUUGUUAGGAGAGAACAAAUGUGUAAGUAGCUAUGCACGUAUUGACGGUACCUGAUCAAGAAGCCACGGCUAACUACGUG
rnacentral:rRNA from 1 species